rnacentral:rRNA from 1 species
GAUGAACGCUGGCGGCGUGCCUAAUACAUGCAAGUCGAGCGAACGGACGAGAAGCUUGCUUCUCUGAUGUUAGCGGCGGACGGGUGAGUAAUACGUGGAUAACCUACCUAUAAGACUGGGAUCACUUCGGGAAACCGGAGCUCAUACCGGAUAAUAUUUUGAACCGCAUGGUUCAAAAGUGAAAGACGGUCUUGCUGUCACUUAUAGAUGGAUCCGCGCUGCAUUAGCUAGUUGGUAAGGUAACGGCUUACCAAGGCAACGAUGCAUAGCCGACCUGAGAGGGUGAUCGGCCACACUGGAACUGAGACACGGUCCAGACUCCUACGGGAGGCAGCAGUAGGGAAUCUUCCGCAAUGGGCGAAAGCCUGACGGAGCAACGCCGCGUGAGUGAUGAAGGUCUUCGGAUCGUAAAACUCUGUUAUUAGGGAAGAACAUAUGUAUAAGUAACUGUGCACAUCUUGACGGUACCUAAACAGAAAGCCACGGCUAACUACGUG